GAUGAAGAACGUAGCGAAAUGCGAUAAGUAAUGUGAAUUGCAGAAUUCAGUGAAUCAUCGAAUCUCUGAACGCACAUUGCGCCCCUUGGUAUUCCGAGGGGCAUGCCCGUUCGAGCGUCAUUAUACCCCUCAAGCCUAGCUUGGUGUUGGGGCCUGCUGUUACCGGCAGCCCUUAAAAUCAGUGGCGGUGCCAUCUGGCUCUAAGCGUAGUAAUACUUCUCGCUACAGGGUCCCGGUGGAUGCUUGCCAUCAACCCCUAAUUUUCUAUGGUUGACCUCGGAUCGGGUAGGGAUACCCGCUGAACUUAAGCAUAUCAAUAAGCGGAGGA
rnacentral:misc_RNA from 1 species